CCUACGGGAGGCUGCAGUGAGGAAUAUUGGUCAAUGGGCGCGAGCCUGAACCAGCCAAGUAGCGUGAAGGAUGACUGCCCUACGGGUUGUAAACUUCUUUUAUAAAGGAAUAAAGUGAGGCACGUGUGCCUUUUUGUAUGUAUUUUAUGAAUAAGGAUCGGCUAACUCCGUGCCAGCAGCCGCGGUAAUACGGAGGAUCCGAGCGUUAUCCGGAUUUAUUGGGUUUAAAGGGAGCGUAGAUGGGUUGUUAAGUCAGUUGGGAAAGUUUGCGGCUCAACCGUAAAAUUGCAAUUGAUACUGGCAGCCUUGAGUACAGUUGAGGUAGGCGGAAUUCGUGGUGUAGCGGUGAAAUGCUUAGAUAUCACGAAGAACUCCGAUUGCGAAGGCAUCUCACGAAGCCGCGAUUGACGCUGAUGCACGAAAGCGUGGAUAUCAAACAGGAUUAGAUACCCGGGUAGUC
rnacentral:rRNA from 1 species